rnacentral:lncRNA from 1 species
UCUGUCUAAAAAACGCUGACAAAGAAUGCAUCUACUUCCUAGUAAAUUCUACAGCUGGAAGGAAGUUUCUAGAGGCACCUCAGCACUGACUUCAGUACCCAUCACUCCACAACUCAAGGAUGGAAACCUUGAACGUCUGAAUUUGCUGAACUGCUUGAGAUGAGACAUCCGUUGUGGACUCUUCUUUUUUGCCCUUUGCUGGAUGGUAGGUGGAGGACAGUUAUCAGAGCUGCAGAGAAGGAAAUAACCUGUCUGGCAUCAGACACUGAUCCUGUUACCAUCUAAUCCACACAGCGGCAGUGGGAGAGCAGAGCAGGAGCCACGAUGGCGGGGGCCAUGGCAGGACAAGCAUUUAGAACGUUUCUCUGCUCCUUGACUGAGUAUUGGUUGAAAGGCAUGCACCCGAAACCCUGCACUCAAAGCCAUGACAUGAGGGACUUGGAUAACAAAUACUUGGAUAAUGAAAACAUCCAAUAAUUAAUGUGCCACCUACUCACCAGGAUCAUGGCCCAACAGGGAAAUGUGGAACAAAGCUCUCCUCAAGGGGAAAGAAAAUGGGAUACACGGCUUGGAAAACCUUCACUAACACUCCCAUAUGAAGAGUGAUAGAAUGCUAAUUUCCCACAGAUUCAUUAUCACCAUGAAAUGAAAUUUUGGAACACAUCACAGGUAAAUGUAAUGUGCAAAUGUAGAAUUCAACAAUUCAAGUUUUAGCUGCCUCAUGUUUUUACACCUCUGUCAACAGGACCCUCAUUAAAUUUUUUUUUCCUAUGAUUGUAGUUGAAAGGAAAACUGAAGAAAAUAUUAUUCUGGAUAGAAAGAUGUCCUUUCCAUCUAACCUUUUAUGAAGGGAGCCCAACUGUGUAUGUGUGUAUAUAUAUAUAUAUACUCCUAG